GCUGCUGUAGCUCAGUGGUAGAGCACACCCUUGGUAAGGGUGAGGCCGUGAGUUCAAUCCUCACCAGCAGCACCA
rnacentral:tRNA from 1 species